rnacentral:ncRNA from 1 species
GGUGCCAGCAGCCGCGGUAAUUCCAGCUCCAAUAGCGUAUAUUAAAGUUGCUGCGGUUAAAAAGCUCGUAGUUGGAUUUCAGUCGAACCUAUGGGGUCCACUGAUUAAAGGGUUAGAUGGUGAUGUUAGGUUUCUUGCUUGUGUCUACGGAUGCUUGCUUGAACCUUCAUUCCUCUUUCCUGGUGGUUACAUUCAUAGUGUUUAGACAGAAAAUUGCUCGAUAUUUGCUAUCAAUGCUCUUUACCGAGUGUUGAUUCAAGCGAUCGAGACUUUUACCUUGAAAAAAUCAGAGUGCUCAAAGCAGGCGUCCAAAACCUCGAAAGAGGUGCCUAAAAACGGUAUGGUCAACCAUCUAUAUGAUGCGUACCACUACCUUAACUUGAAUGAUCUUGCAUGGAAUAAUGGAAUAGGACCUUGGUUCUAUUUUGUUGGUCUUAAGAAUCCAAGGUAAUGAUUAAGAGGGACAGACGGGGGCAUUUGUAUUGCGGCGCUAGAGGUGAAAUUCUUGGACCGUCGCAAGACAAACUACAGCGAAAGCAUUUGCCAAGAAUGUUUUCAUUAAUCAAGAACGAAAGUUAGAGGUUCGAAGGCGAUCAGAUACCGCCCUAGUUCUAACCAUAAACGAUGCCAACCAGCGAUCAUUCUGAGUAACUAAUUUCAUGACUCGAAUGGAAGCUUCCGGGAAACCAAAGUUUUUGGGUUCCGGGGGAAGUAUGGUUGCAAAGCUGAAACUUAAAGGAAUUGACGGAAGGGCACCACCAGGAGUGGAGCUUGCGGCUUAAUUUGACUCAACACGGGAAAACUCACCCGGCCCGGACACUGAGAGGAUUGACAGAUUGAGAGCUCUUUCUUGAUUCAGUGGGUGGUGGUGCAUGGCCGUUCUUAGUUGGUGGAGUGAUUUGUCUGGUUAAUUCCGAUAACGAACGAGACUCUAGCCUACUAAAUAGACUUGCAGUUUACACUGCAGUACUCCCCCUUAGUCAACCUGUGGGUGGUAGUAUCUCUUGAUGGUUUCGGCUGUUGAGGGCUCUGCUGCUAUUAGCCUACAGAAUUGGCUAGGGUAAGGAUGCUGUAGCACUGUAAGGACUUCUUAGAGGGACAAGCGGCGCUCGCAGCCGCACGAAACAGAGCAAUAACAGGUCUGUGAUGCCCUUAGAUGUCCGGGGCCGCACGCGUGCUACACUGAAGUGGUCAUCGUGCAUACUGUUUCCUGCUCCGAAAGGAGUGGGUAACCGCUUGAACCCAUUUCGUGAUGGGGAUUGGGCAUUGUAAUUAUUGCCCAUGAACGAGGAAUUCCCAGUAAGCGUGAGUCAUUAGCUUGCGUUGAUUACGUCCCUGCCCUUUGUACACACCGCCCGUCGCUACUACCGAUUGAAUGAUUUAGUGAGGACUUCGGACUGGUCAAUCCAGACCAUUGGGAAACUAGUGGUCGGAUUGUGCUGGAAAGAUGUUCAAACUUGAUCAUUUAGAGGAAGUAAAAGUCGUAACAAGGUUUCCGUAGGUGAACCUGCGGAAGGAUCAUUA